AUGAGAGGGAGAGAAGCUGCAGCACGGAGCGGUCGCUGGCUGAAAUAGGCUUCCGGGAGACAGGGAAGCGGCAGAGAGGGGAGGAGGGUGAGCGCAAGGGAGGCUCUGUAGGAUUGGGAAGCCGAGAAGGGGAAACGGAGAGGAAGGAGGGGCGGUUUGAUUGGGUGAUCCAUAAGAAAGGCGGAUCGAUGGGCCUGGAGCAGAGGAAAGCCAGAGAAUGGGAAGUUCUCCUGAGGGGGUAAAAGAGGAUUUUGGAGGAGAGCCUCUGUGCUCACUCCAGCAGGGAGGGUCGAUCACCGGGGACAGGAAAACAAGUGUUCCUGUGGACUCCAGAAGUAGCUGCCUGGGCCUUCCUCAAACAGGAGUCUGAGUGUGGAUCUUCUAAACACUAAAUCAGGACUUCUUUUUCCCAAUAAUGGUGGGCUACGUUAUUUGGAUCGACCCUAUAGCUGAAAACAACCUGAAACAGGAAAACUGAACAAAAUAUAAGAAGUAUGUUUUUAAGAUCAAUGAAGAGAUGACAAAACAAUAAGGAAUUGUCAUGCCAAAAAGUGAAGGGAAGACUUAAGAAUGGGUAAGAAGGCAUGGGAGCCACUUUUGCCCUGAAGGUACUCUCAUAUUCCCCAAAUUAGACCACUUUGACAUCGUCAUGAGUCCCAGGGCACGAAAAUCAGAGGCACAGACUGGCCAAGUAGGGAGUCUAAUAAUAGACUGUGGUGAGCAGGCUCUAAGGUAUCUCCUACCCCACUCCCAAGUGUAAGGGAAGGGACUUCCGACUUUAAUCUUACCAAGAGAGUAUGGCAAAGUGAUAGAAUGUCAUUCCCAUGACUGUUAUGUUAUAAAAGUGUCAGUCUUGUUAGUUACUUGGUCUUGUUAGUAGACACAUGGCAGAGAACUUAGGGCAGCCUCUAGCAAGAAUGCCACAGAUUAAAAAAACCCACUGAAUCCCAACAAAUACAAAGGGAAUCAACACCUAGAGUCAUCAUAAUCAAACUACAAUACCAAAGAAAAAAAGAAAAGUUUAAAAGCUGCUAGAGAAAAGGACAAAUUAUGUUUAAGAAACAUGCUUAGUACAUGGGAGACACCUAUUAUAUAUUUGUUAAAUGAAUAAACAAUCACACAUUACUUGGGAGCUCUUAUGCUUUACUAGCUCUGUGACUUAUGUCACUUGACUGCUUUGAAACUCAGUCUCCUGAUCUUCAAAAUGUAGAUAAUAAAACCUACUUUAUAAGGAUGAUUAUUAGAAUUAUAUUCCUGGUGUAAUUAGGUGCUUCAGUUCUGCACAGGCUCUCUCCCAAAUUUGUGUUUCUGGUCUAUUCUAUGCAAAUUUAUUCUCUAGGUCUCCAGUUCCAAACAUCUAUCUUGAAAUACUUCUAUAUCUAAAACAUAUUUCCUUCCUUCCCUUUUGAAGGGCUAGAGGCUUCAGAAAAACAACUCCUAUUGCAAUAACAUCUGUUCAGCUAUGGGCGGGGGGGGGAAGGUGAGUGAACAAACAUUUACCUUAGGAUGUGCCUGAUAAUUCCCCUACCUAAAUAAUACUCAGUAGAAUUUUCCCAAACUCUGUCAUGAUAAGGGUUCCCUGAGGCAGUUGUUAGUAAUACAGUUUUGGGGUCUGUUCCUCUGAACAGCAGGACUCCUUAGGUUUAGGGUAGAACCGGGAAUCUGACUUUUUAACAAGCACCCGGGUGAUUCUCACCUUCGUAGAAUAGUAGGACUAUAGCUAGGAGGUGAGGAUUAAAUAACUGGCCAAGCUACUGAUUAAUCUGAGUGAACAAAUAUUUCCUGCUGUAGGAAAGGGGAGAAUAAAGUACAAAUAAGAGGCUGGACCUGUGAAGGUAUGGAUGUAACAUGGCUCAUGUCUGGACAGGCUCACUAACUUAGAGACAUAGAUGUGCAUAAAAUAUUUUAAGGCAAGAGGCUAGGCUACCAUUGGAUGGCCAAUAGCAAACAAAAUAGGAGUUCUGAUGGUAGGGGACCAGGGAAAGCUUUGUAAAGGAAGUACACUCUAAACUAGACUACUGUCUAGACUUCCAGAUUUUUUUCAGGUGAAUUAUAAAUAGGAAAUGGAAUUCUAGGAAAGAAAAAUAGUUUUAAGCAAAGGAAUAAAGGUAUAAAAUGCCCAAGUUGGUUCUAGUGAAAGCAAGAAAACUGAGCUGUUCCUUUCCUAAGUACAGGGGAAAUGCCUGGACAGGAAGGUGAAAAAGGGCCAGGUGGAAAUGAACGAACAAUUUGAAAACAUAGUGCAGAAGAUCUUACAAGGUUAGGGUUGAGAGGAUGGGUGGGAAGAGGGAGCAGAAACCUGAAAACCCUACCAUGAGACUAGGAGCCUCUGAGUCAGAGAAAACCCAAGAUGAGGACCUCUGCCUCAGGACCCUGAUUCUCACACCUUGAGAGAGGGCUUUCUGACCCCAUAACUGACUGGCAAAUCCCGAAACUUAAGCCCCCAAAUGCCGAAACUCACCAAUCUACUCCAGUAGUGAGUAGAGACCCUGUGAUCCCCUCCUGGGAUUUUAAAUACGUCCCUGCCUACUCCAGUCCCUCCCCACCUACCCUGCACCUUUCAUGUGUUCAAAAGUCCUGGAAUACUUUUUGUCAACAGCAAUUUCCUCUGCCCAGAAUGUUUUUCCCUACUUUAUUUGACUAACUUAUUCAUUUGUCAGGUCUCUGUUUAUAUACUUCUCACUGAGAGAAGCCUUUCCUACUCACUUGGUCUAAAUGUCCUCCACUCCUCUGUAGAUGCCCUUUGAAUUUUUCUUCAUAGCUCACACAAAUACUUAAGAUGACAUUCUUAUUUGUGUUUGUGGCUCUCUUCGGUCACACAGUAAGCUCUGUGGCUGUGUCUGCUUCCCUCCCCAUUCUCUGCUCAGUACCUAGCCCAGGGCAAUCUCUCACCAUAUUUAUUUUAAAGAGACAGGGAAAGGGACUCUAAGCUUCUCCAAGAUCCUCUGAAUUCUCAAGACCCUAAUGCCUUUCCUGCCUCCUUUUCCAGAGCUUGUGCCUGGGUUCGAAUCCUGAUGUCAGUAUUUACCAACUGGGACACACUGGACAAGUGGUCUACACUGCUUAAAUCUCAGUUUCCUUUUCCUGUCAAAUUGAGAGGACAGUUCCUACCUCACAGGGUUGUGAGGAGGAUUUAUAAGAGCAUCUAACAGUAAAACAUCUAACAGUAUCUAGAAAAUAGUGGUUGAUAAAAGUUAGCUGCCAUUAUUACUGUUGCUAAUAACGAAUCACCUCUAAGAUUCAAGCCAUCGGGCUUUUUUCCACAAGAAAGUUCUCCUUUUAUUAAUAUACCUAAAGAGGUCUUAUAAAUUGAUAAGAAAAUGCAAAAAAAAAAAAGUGGAUUCCAGAAUUGUAAAAUCACAGAAAAAAAUGUUGAACAUUUUAAAUAUAUAUAUUAUCAGAGUAGAGAGGAGGAGAGAAAGGGGCACAGUCUGAGUCUCAGGUACUCCCACAUCUUAAAGUUCUUCCCUCUAGUGUUGGGGAAGAAGGAAAAGCAAACAGGCAAGUGCCUUCUUCCUUGAUGGGGUGAUGCUUUUGUGUUCCCUUCUCUGCAGGAGGUUUCUGCUGCUCUGGCUGAAGCAGCUUGCCACGAUGCCCUCUGAGUGCUGGCUCUUACAGAGCACACGUGUGGUUCUUGAGAGGUCACAUAUUUCUCUACCUCUUAUGCCCAUUAAACCACUCCCCCUUUCCCCCCGCCACAAGAAAUUCAUGUCUGGGACUCACCAGUGAUGUCUCAUGCAUGCAAUCCACGAAUUCCUGUGUGGCGUUUGCCAUUCAUCCAUUCCACGCCUUGGAGUACUCCACUCUCCUAGAACACUGCUGUCACUGCUGCUAGGGUUUCACUAGCCAGGAGCCAUGACAUUUUCCUCCAAAUGUAGGGGACACCCUACUCCUGACUCCACGCCACACAGAUCCAAGAUAAAUGGGGUGGUACUGUUCUCCUGCGGGGAUUCUGCAACAGCCUCCUCCAAGAAGAUUUAGCUGCUAAAGAAUCUAAAAGUACUCCCCCGGAAGUGGCCUUGGAGCAUGACCAGGGGAUGCCCGAAGAACACCAUCCUCCCCCUCCGGGGAGGCAGACGCUGUUCCGAGAGCAGGAGGCGGAAACGCUCCAGUGGGAAGCCCACCCUUUACCAGACAAAGGGCUCAGAGGGAGCAAUCCGCCUCCACCACUGCCGCCGACUCCACUAUUCCGCUCCUGCGAGCCACCGGACCCCCAGACGCGGAGGGGAAUCAGCCCCAUCACUAUUGGCCUUUCUCCACUAGUGACCUCUACAAUUGGAAAGCUCAGAAUCCUAAGUUUUCCGAGAAACCGGCAGGGCUUAUUGAUUUAUUAGACUCUGUUCUUUUUACCCAUCAGCCCACGUGGGACGAUUGCCAGCAGCUUUUGCAGGUCCUGUUCACGACUGAAGAAAGAGAAAGAAUCCUCAAUGGGGCCCGGAAACUAGUUCCGGGCACAGACGGGAAUCCCACCACCCACCAGGCUCAGAUAGAUGCCUCCUUCCCCUUAACUCAGCCCCAGUGGGAUUUCAACA